rnacentral:rRNA from 1 species
UACGAAGGGGGCUAGCGUUGCUCGGAAUCACUGGGCGUAAAGCGCACGUAGGCGGAUUGCUAAGUCAGGGGUGAAAUCCUGGAGCUCAACUCCAGAACUGCCUUUGAUACUGGCAAUCUCGAGUCCGGGAGAGGUGAGUGGAACUGCGAGUGUAGAGGUGAGAUUCGUAGAUAUUCGCAAGAACACCAGUGGCGAAGGCGGCUCACUGGCCCGGUACUGACGCUGAGGUGCGAAAGCGUGGGGAGCAAACAGG